rnacentral:rRNA from 1 species
GUCUUUUUGAUUAAUAUGUAAAGUCUCGCCUGCCCACUGAAAAUUUUAAAUGGCCGCGGUAUUUUGACCGUGCUAAGGUAGCAUAAUCAUUAGUUUUUUUAUUGAAAGCUGGAAUGAAGGGUUGGAUGAAAAAAAAGCUGUCUUUAUUUAAUUUUAAUAGAAAUUUAUUUUUAAGUUAAAAAGCUUAAAUUUUUUUAAAAGACGAGAAGACCCUAUAGAGUUUUAUAAUUUUUUUAAUAACUUUUUUUAGUAUUAAAUUUAUUUAUAUAUUUAAAUUAUUGAGUUGGGGUGAUUGAAAAAUAAGUUGAACUUUUUUUAUAUAAUUAUAUUGAUUAAUAAUUUAUUGAUCCAAUUUUUUUGAUUAUAAGAAUAAAUUACCUUAGGGAUAACAGCGUAAUUUUAUUGGAGAGUUCAAAUUGAUAAUAAAGAUUGCGACCUCGAUGUUGGAUUAAAAUUUAUAAUUGGUGCAGAAGCUAUAUUAUUAAGUCUGUUCGCCU